GAGUGGCGGACAGGUGAGUAACGCGUGGGUAACCUGCCUCAUACAGGGGGAUAACAGUUGGAAACGACUGCUAAUACCGCAUAAGCGCACAGUACUGCAUGGUACAGUGUGAAAAACUCCGGUGGUAUGAGAUGGACCCGCGUCUGAUUAGCUAGUUGGUGGGGCAACGGCCUACCAAGGCGACGAUCAGUAGCCGACCUGAGAGGGUGACCGGCCACAUUGGGACUGAGACACGGCCCAAACUCCUACGGGAGGCAGCAGUGGGGAAUAUUGCACAAUGGGGGAAACCCUGAUGCAGCGACGCCGCGUGAACGAAGAAGUAUUUCGGUAUGUAAAGUUCUAUCAGCAGGGAAGAUAAUGACGGUACCUGACUAAGAAGCACCGGCUAAAUACGUGCCAGCAGCCGCGGUAAUACGUAUGGUGCAAGCGUUAUCCGGAUUUACUGGGUGUAAAGGGAGCGCAGGCGGUGCGGCAAGUCUGAUGUGAAAGCCCGGGGCUCAACCCCGGUACUGCAUUGGAAACUGUCGUACUAGAGUGUCGGAGGGGUAAGUGGAAUUCCUAGUGUAGCGGUGAAACGCGUAGAUAUUAGGAGGAACACCAGUGGCGAAGGCGGCUUACUGGACGAUAACUGACGCUGAGGCUCGAAAGCGUGGGGAGCAAACAGGAUUAGAUACCCUGGUAGUCCACGCCGUAAA
rnacentral:rRNA from 1 species